UUUUUAGGACGUCUUUGUUCUUCCAGAGCGUUCCAUUUUUUGGUAUAAAUAGCCCUGCAAAUGCAUCAUUCAAGUAUCACCAGCCUUUUAAUCAACUCUUAUUACACAAUCCAAUCCAAGCUUCCAAAACCAACUCCGUCAAAAUGAACAAGCUCUUUGUCGUCCUCCUCUUGGCCGCUGUUGUCGCCGCUGCCAGCGCGCAAUACUACGGCGGAUACGGAUACUCCAACUUGGGUUAUGGCUACUCGAACCUCGGAUACUCCAACUUGGGCUACUCCUCCCUCGGAUAUGGUGCUUAUCCAGCCUACGCCGGGUACGGUUAUGGAGGACUCGCCUACUACAAAAAGUAGAUCUUUUUACAGAUCAACCUACCCUUAAAAUUUGCGACCCAAUAAUCCGGCCAAAAUUCGAUCGGAACGUUUUAUACCGAAAAAAUUAAAGAAAUAAAAUCACUUCAGUUUCAAAUCCUUAUA